AUGGUUGAUCGAAGGUGCCCCAUCGCGGGUGGGAGAAAAAGGCCAUUUGGGCUGUGUGUUGUCCGCGUAGCCGACAGGAAGCAAACACGUUCUCGAAAGCUGAAGGCUCCAGCGACCUCUCUUACCACCAUCAUAGCAGUCCCAGGUUGCAACAAGGACAGUGUUAAAGCAGGCUGUAAAAAAGUGUGGCUACCCUGGUCACCUGACUUUUGAAUGCUGCAAUUUUCUCCGAGUAGACCCCAAAAGGGACAUAGUUUUAGAUGUCAGCAGUACAAGCACUGAAGAUAGUGAUGAAGAGAAUGAAGAACUGAAUAAACUACAGGCAUUACAGGAAAAAAGAAUAAAUGAAGAAGGGGAAAAGAAAAAAGAAAAAAGCAAAGAAAAUCAAAUUGAAAAUAAGAGGAAAAGGUCAUAUUCAUCCAGUUCCACUGAAGAAGAUACUUCAAAACAAAAGAAACAAAAAUAUCAGAAGAAAGAAAAGAAAAAAGAAAAAAAUAGUAAAUAAAAAAAGAGGAAACAUCACAAAAAGGAAAAAAAAGAAGAGGAAAAAGGAAAAGCAUUCUUCUACCCCUAAUAGUUUGGAAUUCUCCAAAAAGGAACUGAGACUGUGGCCUAGGACAUUACAUUUAAAAAUUUGUUUUUUAAAAUUAUGUACCCUUCCUUGGAAUUUGCUAUAUAUUCUGCUUUGCAAUAAAUCCCGGCCUUUUCCAUUAAAAAAAAAAACAAAAAAAAAACCACUGUGUAAUCAAAAAGUUCCAGGCCAAGUGGCAAAAAUCCAGCCUGAACCAUGAGAACAGACAAUCAUGGUCCCUCAAUCAGUUCCCAGACUUGAGCCAGUUUAUAGGCCAAGAACCCCUUCAGUGAAGGGGAGGCUGGGUCCUCUUGAGGAAGGAUCCCAGUACACUACCAAAGAUUAAUACUGUGAUCUUUUUUUCCAAGCUUUCCCCCAAAGGCCUACAGCCUUUUACAAGGGGAACUGCACUGGGGGAAAGGAAAAAGUCAGACCUAUUGGGGACUAUUGAAUACGGGCUCUGAACUGACACUAAUUCCGGAGGGCCCAAAACAUCACUGUGGUCUGCCAGUCAGACUAGGGGCUUAUGGAGGUCAGGUGAUCAUGGGUUUCAGCUGAGGUCCGUCUCAUGGUGGGCCCAGUGGGUCUGUGAACCCAUCCUGUAGGUAUUUCCGAAGUUAUGGAAGGCAUAAUUGGAAUAGACAUCCUCAGCAGCUGUCAGAAUCCCCACAUUGGUCCCCCAACCUGUGGAGUGAGGGCUAUUAUGGUCGGAAAGGCCAUGUGGAAGCCGCUAGAACUGUCUCCACCUAGAAAAAUAAUAAACUCUAGCUUUGCUUCUUGAACAAAAUGAUAAAGUUUCAAAAGAAGAAAACUUUUUCCCUCUUUUACCCGUCUUCCUGCCUUGGACUUGGACGUGUUGAACAGCAUUCGUGAUCAUGAAGAAAAGGUCCAGAAAAUUAUGGGGAUGUCAGCGUUGACAUUUUAAAUCACUGAACCAACUCCAACAACCACCUUCAUCUAGACCUUUUUCAUCAAAAUGUAAGCCCCAUGAUUUGUUUAAGCCACUCCUAUUUGGGUACCCUGUUGGUAUCUGCAAUGGUACCUGCUGCCAAAAGUAUUACUAACUGAGACACAUUUAUUUCGUACACCUCAAAAUGAACAUAAGUGAACUCAUGAUCCUCUCCACUAAACUUCCUUUUCUUAUGGUUUCUCCCAUCCCAGUGAAGGAACACCAUCCAGUAGUCACCUGGACGGCUAAAAAUAGUUCUUACCACAUCUCCUCUGGCCCAUCUCCAGUGCAAUCUCCAAAAGCAGCCAUAGUAAUGUUUUAAAGGGAACUUUUCUGAUCAUGUCUACCCCCUUGCUUAAAAUCCUCUAACGGCUUCCCACUUAACUGAAAAUUAAGUCCAAACUCCCUACAGGGUCUAUAAGACCUUAUGUGAUGUGACUCUUACCCACCUCUCUAUUAUAGCUUCAUGUCAACUUUGGUCCUCCUCCAUCUCUAGACUAGCAACACUGACUUCCUUUUACUUUCUCAUCCUCUUAUUCUCCUUUAAGAUCCCUCUUUUGUCAGCCUAGUAUACUUUUCUCCCAAUAUUUGCCUCAGUAACUCUUCCUCAUCACUCACAUUGCAGCUUACACAUCAUUUUCUUAGUAAGUCUUCCAUGGACCCCUGCCACUAGGUCAAAUCCUUCACUGAAUGCUGCUAGAGCACCACGUUCACUUUAAGCACAUAUAACCUCUAAUUACUUACUCCGUUUUUCUGCUGGACAGUAAGCUCCUGAGCACAGGCACUGUGUCUGUUUUCAAACAAAAGUCCUCAUCCUCCCACCAUCAACAUUUUAAACAUACAUUAAUUCUUAAGCUAACUUCUUCCUCCGGAUGUGAGGGAGAAAAUGUUUCUCCUCUUAACCCCUCACUUGUACUUUGGAUUCCAUCCUGCCUCACCUUCUCAAGUACUCUGAGACUUUGACUCUGCCCCCACACAGACACUUUUCAGAAUCAUUAGUCUCUCCCUCACCUCAACAUCAUUAAUGUAAACAUUUAAGCAUCUCCCUAGUGCAUCUCAUGUUAAAAAACAAACAAGAAGCCUCAGUUGAGUCUACCUCUUCCUCCUGCUACUGUAGUAUUUUUCUACUCUUCUUCAUAGACAAUUUCACUCUAAAGAGAUGGGCAAAAUUUUAGAUUUAGAAAAUGCUGGGUGUUCGUGAGAAUAUAGAGCAAAGGCACAACCCCUGUAGACAGUAGAAUUUAGAUAGGUAUUAGAAAAAACAAAUUAAAUCAAAUAUACCAAUAAUCUAUGAUGCAGCAGUUCCACUUCUAGGUGUAUAUCAUAGAACAACAUCUUUCCAGUUGCUGCCUACGACACUAUAGUGAAUGUGUUGUGAAAUCAGUUUGUGGGUUGUGACUACAUUAAACAAGUGAACCAGAAGAAAAUGGAAUAGAAAAUAUUAGAUUGCAUUGCAUGUCGUUAGGGUAAGUAUUGUUGUGUGAAAAUUUUAUUUCACUUACUUAUAUGUGUGUGCUUAUAUGUGUGGGUACGUGUGUGCAUGCAUGCUUGUGUUCUCCAGGACACAAUACAAAAUGUAUUCCUUUCUGGGGUUUCUGUCAGAAAAACUUGCAAAACACUCUCUCCUAGACAGUUUCUUGAAUAUGUGCCAAAGGAGAUCUGUCUAUAUGUGACUGUUCACUCCAGUGUGGAUCAAACACCGGGAAAGAGGCUGAGUGGUUUUCACAGAGAGUCCUGUUGAAUGCACCCUAUUAUUAGGAGCCUCCUUCACAGUGGUGGCACUUUGGUGAGCAUUGACAUGGGACACAAAAUAUUCUCAAAUUGUGGGCCCAUUCGAAGAGGUCCAUCCCCAUACCGCCUCCUCAAACCUUCUCACCAAUCUGCCAAGCCUAUUACUACUAAGUCCCCGAUCAUCCAGCCCAAUAAUUAACCAUGGCCCAUACAUCAGUGUAGAUCUUGGCUUCAGGCCUCUGUGCUUCUUGGGAGAAUGGACGGUGACAUGUAUUUAUCAAUGUUGGGCUCACCAUGAUGAUUUCCUUUUCCCCACUGGACUUCGGGGACACACUUGUUUGGGACUGUAAUAUCACUGCAAUCCACAUCCACAAGGUUGCAGCACACCCUGUAGAGCCUUUCUUUAAACCAGGCUACAGAGUUUUUCUCCCCAGUCACCAAGUCGCAAGAAACUCCCAAUGAACCCGUAUGUUGGGUGUGGGUUGACAAACAGGUGGCAGCAUAAGGAGGAAUAAAAGCCAAAUCUUGUAUAUGUCAUUUCUCUUUAGUGAUGGACGUCUACUGGUUAUACUAGACUUUAUGGUUUAGUGGAUUAGUCAACACCCAGUUAAUGAUGGACAGCUCAGGUCGCAUGAUCAUCUGAUUUCUCUUGGUCAGUCUCUACCAGGGCUAGUAGCAAGCUAGGAGCAGUCUCCCAGAAAAGAUAAUAGUUACUUGCUGAUGAAGGCAUGAAUUUGCUCCAACCCUAGGGUCCACUGACAGGUUUCUCUCAUCAGGGAUUACUACAGACUCCAUAGGGCAUCAUGAUCUGUUACAGACACUUCAAGCACCAUUGGAUCCCCUGGGUCAUAAGGGCUUGGUGGCAGAUCUGCGUGAACUGCAGCCCGGGACAAUGGGAGAGCCUUCAUUUACUCUGGGCCCUCACUGAAUACUAGCCAUUUUUCUUGUCACCUACAAAAUGGGUUGGAGCAGGACACACAAAGGUGGCAAAUUUAAUUUUAUCUUCAACAUCUAAACUGGCCCACCAAGCAUUGUGUCUCACUACUGCUAGGGGAUGAAAACUGAAGCAACUUGGCCUCCACAUUGGAGGGACUAUCUUGCCAUGCCUCAAGUCACUGGACCCCUACUGGUUUCAUAGAGGUGGCAGGCUUCUGUAAUUUCAAAGGAUUUAACUCAAAGCUUUUGGAAUCUCAUGAGUCUUUCCAAGGUAUCUAGGGUACCUGCUACUUUCUCGUCUCUAGGUCCUGUCAGCAUGAUGUCAUCAACAGAGUGGACUAGAGUAAUUCCCACUGGAUGACGGUGUGGUUAAAAUCUCCAAAGACUAAACUGGAGCUCAGACAUGGAAAUAUGAUAUAUCUCUACAGGACAGUAAGCGUAUAGAAUUUUCUAUGCUAAAGAAAUCAAAGUGCUUUUAAUGUUCUCUGCUUGCUGAAAUGUAGAAAAGAGUAUUGAUUUGCUCUGGUAAGGGGGUCACAUCUGGGAAAGUAACUGCUGUGGAGUCACCACCUGGUUGUAUUUAGGUCCAUUCAUCUCUUGCACUAGCUAAAAUUGGAAUGGGGAUAAGAUAUGAAUUACUACCUCUGCAUCUUUUAGUAUUUUGGUGGUGGCAUGAAAUUUCUGAUAUUCCCACGGGCUUGUGAUAUUGCUAUCACAAUAGGUUUAGUAUCUUGGUAGGGAGGAGGGAGGAGAACAUCUAGCGACUUCUUAGCCCUCCUUAGCACAAUAGCUCUUACUCCACAGGUUAUCGAGGCAACAUGGAGAUUCUUCCAGUUUCUGAAUAAGUGUGUGCAUGCAUGUGUGCGCAUGCGCACGUGUGCACGUGUGUGCGUGUGCGCGUGUGUUUGUAGUCCACAAAUACCUUCAGGAACUAGAGAAACAACGAUGGGAUGAACUUUCUUCAAAAUUUCGUCCAUCAUCUGACCCUGAUAAGCCUCCCUCUGACUGAAAGACCAUGGUGGCAUUCUGCAUUCCAAGGCAUCAGAGCAGAGUCAAUCGCCAGUAACCACUAAAGGUUUGGGUGUUUCCCUUUCUGCAGUGCAAAUAUACUUAACUGACUGGCCGCAAGUUCCUUGAAGAGAUACUAGAAUGAAGGUUCACAUUAUAUGUUUAUGUUUGUUCCCUGACUUUCUCUUCACUUAAGGGGCUCUGGGUCUAUGAAUUGACUCAAAGUCAGGCACUGAAAUUCAGUGGAUGUUGGUUCAAAUGACUCUUCUGUCAACAGACCUCCGGGGUUUUUGAAAUUGUUGUAUUUACACCGAUAAAAUAUACUGGUUUGCAGUGGAUUUUAUUUCAGUCAGUUUCUUUGUUUACCAUUUGUUCCUGCAUCUCAGCUCUUCUGGGCACAAUUUUCUUCCUCUUGAGGUACCUGUUUAAAAGUUCUUUCAGGCCAGGUGCGGUGGCUCACGCCUGUAAUCCUAGCACU